rnacentral:rRNA from 1 species
GAUGAACGCUGGCGGCGUGCCUAAUACAUGCAAGUCGAGCGAAUGGAUUGAGAGCUUGCUCUUAUGAAGUUAGCGGCGGACGGGUGAGUAACACGUGGGUAACCUGCCCAUAAGACUGGGAUAACUCCGGGAAACCGGGGCUAAUACCGGAUAACAUUUUGAACCGCAUGGGUCGAAAUUGAAAGGCGGCUUCGGCUGUCACUUAUGGAUGGACCCGCGUCGGCUUAGCUGGUUGGUGAGGAAACGGCUCACCAAGGCAACGAUGCGUAGCCGACCUGAGAGGGUGAUCGGCCACACUGGGACUGAGACACGGCCCAGACUCCUACGGGAGGCAGCAGUAGGGAAUCUUCCGCAAUGGACGAAAGUCUGACGGAGCAACGCCGCGUGAGUGAUGAAGGCUUUCGGGUCGUAAAACUCUGUUGUUAGGGAAGAACAAGUGCUAGUUGAAUAAGCUGGCACCUUGACGGUACCUAACCAGAAAGCCACGGCUAACUACGUGCCAGCCGCCGCAGUAA